GUAGGGAAUAUUGGACAAUGGGCGAAAGCCUGAUCCAGCCAUGCCGCGUGAUAGAUGAAGGCCCUCUGGGUUGUAAAUAUCUUUUAUCUGGGAAGAAACUCCUCUAUUCUUAGAGGCCUGACGGUACCAGAGGAAUAAGCACCGGCUAACUCCGUGCCAGCAGCCGCGGUAAUACGGAGGGUGCAAGCGUUAUCCGGAUUCACUGGGUUUAAAGGGUGCGUAGGCGGGUUGAUAAGUCAGUGGUGAAAGCUCCGGGCUUAACUUGGAAACUGCCAUUGAUACUGUCAAUUUUGAAUGUCGUAGAGGUAAGCGGAAUGUUGCAUGUAGCGGUGAAAUGCUUAGAUAUGUUACAGAACACCAAUUGCGAAGGCAGCUUACUAUGCGAUAAUUGACGCUGAGGCACGAAAGCGUGGGGAGCAAACAGGAUUAGAUACCCUAGUAGUCC
rnacentral:rRNA from 1 species